AAGCUACUGGGGGAGCCGAAGCUCCCCCAAAGUGCGUGCUCUUAUUUUUAUUGUCUGUUGGGCUUUUUAUUUUUGUUGAGCGCCCAAUUCACGGCUUUUCGCCUGUGAAACCUCCCAAUCGGGAGUCAAGAGCAAACGGAUUGCUUUGGUCGCUGUGCUGCAGUAAUCAAUCGAUCCAACCAGUUCAGGCGCUACCUUAGGGUAGUU
rnacentral:misc_RNA from 1 species